UACGUAGGGUGCGAGCGUUGUCCGGAAUUACUGGGCGUAAAGUGUGCGCAGGCGGCUUCGCAAGUCGAGUGUGAAAUCCCCGAGCUUAACUUGGGAAUUGCGCUCGAAACUACGGAGCUGGAGUGUGGCAGAGGAAGGUGGAAUUCCACGUGUAGCGGUGAAAUGCGUAGAGAUGUGGAGGAACACCGAUGGCGAAGGCAGCCUUCUGGGCCAACACUGACGCUCAUGCACGAAAGCGUGGGGAGCAAACAGG
rnacentral:rRNA from 1 species